GCGCCCGUAGCUCAACUGGAUAGAGCGGCGGACUACGGAUCCGCAGGUUAGGCGUUCAAAUCGCCUCGGGCGUA
rnacentral:tRNA from 1 species